GACUGUAAGGGUUGUUGGAGACUACGACGUAGAUAGGUCUGGUGUGUAAGCGGUGUGAGCCGUUGAGCUAACAGAUACUAAUUGCCCGAGAGGCUUAACUAU
rnacentral:rRNA from 1 species